rnacentral:rRNA from 1 species
UACAGAGCCACGAGCGUUAGGCGGAAUCACUGGGCUUAAAGCGUGUGUAGGUGGAUGACUAAGUACCUUGUGAAAAUCCCCACGGCUCAACCGUGGAACUGCUUGGUAUACUGGUUGUCUUGAGGCACUCAGGGGCGAGCGGAACAGAUGGUGGAGCGGUGAAAAUGCGUAGAUAUCAUCUGGAACGCCAAUGGUGAAGACAGCUCGCUGGGGGUGUACUGACACUGAGACACGAAAAGCUAAGGGG